AGUGAACGCUGGCGGCGUGGAUAAGGCAUGCAAGUCGAGCGAUCCUCGCAAGAGGAUAGCGGCAAACGGGUGAGUAACGCGUAGGUAACCUACCCUGGGGGAAUGUGGGAUAGCCCAGCGAAAGUUGGGUAAUACCACAUGUGCUUUGCGGUUCGCAUGUUCCGCAAGGAAAGGUGGCCUCGGACCGAAAGGUUGCCAUCA
rnacentral:rRNA from 1 species